UGGGGAAUCUUCCGCAAUGGACGAAAGUCUGACGGAGCAACGCCGCGUGAGUGAUGACGGCCUUCGGGUUGUAAAGCUCUGUUAAUCGGGACGAAUGGUUCUUGUGCGAAUAGUGUAAGGAUUUGACGGUACCGGAAUAGAAAGCCACGGCUAACUACGUGCCAGCAGCCGCGGUAAUACGUAGGUGGCAAGCGUUGUCCGGAAUUAUUGGGCGUAAAGCGCGCGCAGGCGGAUUGGUCAGUCUGUCUUAAAAGUUCGGGGCUUAACCCCGUGAUGGGAUGGAAACUGCCAAUCUAGAGUAUCGGAGAGGAAAGUGGAAUUCCUAGUGUAGCGGUGAAAUGCGUAGAUAUUAGGAAGAACACCAGUGGCGAAGGCGACUUUCUGGACGAAAACUGACGCUGAGGCGCGAAAGCCAGGGGAGCGAACGGG
rnacentral:rRNA from 1 species